rnacentral:rRNA from 1 species
CGCUUAACACAUGCAAGUCGAAUGGUUUUAGGGGCUUGCUCCUAAGGCCAUGGCAGACGGGUGCGUAAUGUAUAGGAACAUACCCUUUGGUGGGGGAUAACGCCGGGAAACUGGUGCUAAUACCGCAUAAGCCCGAGAGGGGAAAGAUUUAUUGCCAAAGGAAUGGCCUAUAUCAGAUUAGAUAGUUGGUGGGGUAAAGGCCCACCAAGUCUGUGAUCUGUAGCUGAUCUGAGAGGAUGAUCGGCCACACUGGGACUGAGACACGGCCCAGACUCCUACGGGAGGCAGCAGUGGGGAAUAUUGGACAAUGGGGGAAACCCUGAUCCAGCGAUGCCGCGUGUAUGUUUAAGGUCUUCGGAUUGUAAAGUAC